UUCAAACUCCAGUAUCUUUUCGUUUAUUGGUUCUCUUUUCGUUGUUUUUUUUGGCAAAUAAACUACAAUUUACGUGAUGCAAGGACAUUACUUCUGUGUGGUACAAACCGUCGAAGCCAGUAAGCCAGUGGUAACUGUGGUUCCGCAUCAAUGGAUUGACGGAAAAUUUCUUCUCUGGCCUCCUAAAAAACCGGAUCGCCUAAGAAAAACUGCGUCUUCAAAACCAGAAUCUAACUGGGGUAAGAUUCCUUGUGUAAUCAAAAGGCAGUACAUUCCAACAUUUGAUGAGGCAGAAAAGGAAGCUGCAUUUUUAUCUGACAUAACAACGGAUACCUCCGAUACACCUGCACCACCAAAGAAAAGGCUGAAAAAAGCAACAACAUCAAUUCAAGAAUUUGACUUAAACCAUUAGCUAGAAAACGAGGGCACUUCAACGACGUUUGUUACCAUCGAAAACACGUCUGCGUUAAGUGUUGAUAAUUUGGUUUGCGAACCCAUAGAAGGAUUCGAAACAGAGCAACCAAUUGCUACCUCUUAUACGCUACCCGGUCCCAGUACUGCAAUUAUACACCGGAGUGAAGAUCGUGCAUUUGACCCACUAUUUGACCGCGAUGAACAUGUAACAAUGAACGACGUUAUGCAAAAGAUUGACAUGGCAAAAAACGAAAUUAUUUCUACUGUGCAGCAGACGAUGGAAAGUUUGGUUACCAGAACUAUAUCAGUUAUAAAAAGUGACUUCGACACUAAAAUCCUGCAUUUGCAAAAUUCAAUACGGCCCACAAGCGUUGUAUCAAAGAACUUUUCAUUUUCAUUAGUUUGCACUAUCGAACAAUUACAAGAGCUGGAUUCGAAGCUCGAAGAUCAUCUAUACACAGAAAACGUGAAAAAAUAUAUGAUGGACAAGAUAAGCAAUGUUGCAGAUACAGUCAAUGGGCAAAAUACAUGCUACGAGCUUGUUGAUCAUUUUUUUGAUUGAAAGCUAAUGUUGAAAUGUUCAUGGACCAGUGCAAGCAAAAAUGAAAACCCAAAAUGUGCACUACGUUUGUAUAAAAACGUUCUCAACACAUUUUUCGAAAUCGUCAAGGGUAUCAAUUCAAGCUUUAACGUCAAAUUGAUGAAACAUUUUUUCAAGUCAGUCACGAGAAAUUCUAAGUAGUGUUGUGAAGCCAAGGGGUUGCGCUGCUCGACCGUUUACCGGAGAUCAAAAAAAAAAAGAUCACUUCCGUUGCAAUUGCUGAAUGUAUGAUCACUGAUGAUGCGGGAAAAGAGAACGAAACCGCUUUGCUACAAGCAAACAGCGACACAGAAGAGGAAAGUGAUAGUGAAGAUUGAGCAUCUGUUACGUUUUCGCCUAGUUUCAAGUUAUCUUUUAUUAAUUAAUUAUUUUAUGCUAAGCUUGAUCUGUAAUUCGUUAUUCUGUAUGUAACUUAAGAGUAGAAGCAGGACAAAAAAGAUUCAAC